GCAAAAGAUGCUUUAGCCGGCAGCUGAGCAAAACUAAGGAAAACCUGUACCAGCGCAAUGUGGCAUCAUACAGCGUUUACAACCAUUGGUCAUAUGCCCUUCUACCCUGCUGGGAAGUGAGUCUGGUGCCAAGAAAGAAUCCAGACACAUCUAGUUUGGAUCUUUAGAUUCGGUAGCUCACCUGCUAUAUGACUUGGAAUAAAUGACUUAAUUUACUUAAAACAAUGUAAAAAUAUGAAAUAAUAAAAAUCUGUCUGAUAA